ensembl:lncRNA
ACCAAUCCUCCUUUUUUUGCUGAGGAAGACUGGCCCUGAGCUCACAUCCAUGCCCAUCUUCCUCUACUUUAUAUGUGGGACGCCUACCACAGCAUGGCUUGCCAAGCAGUGCCAUGUCCACACCCAGGAUCUGAACCGGUGAACCCCUGGCCGCCGAAGCAGAAUGUGCGAACUUAACCGCCGCGCCGCCGGGCUGGCCUGUAGGGUGUCAUCCCUAUUUGCAGAUGAGAACACUGAGUUUUAGAGACCUUCUAUUUUGUUUCUCCAUCCUCUGGCCAGGCCCAACCCCCCACCUCCCCACCAUGGCUGCAUUCACAUACCCAUUUCUUUGGGUAAGAACCCUCUCCAGCCACAGUGCCGUUCUCCUCAGACUUCUAGGUGGAAGGGAAUUGGGCUUGUUGAAGACUUUAUUUGUUGACUUAAUGUUGGAGUACCAGCUCAGCCACGUCUGAGCUGGGUGACUUGGCCUGUCACUGCUCCAUCUGAACCAUGGCUACCUCAUUCCAGGGACAUGAGGCUGAUCAUAUGACAAAAUGAGACAGGAAAGCGUUCUGUAAACUUUGGAGGACUGUACAGAGGUAAGUGGGGUUUCUGAGAAGAAGGUCCUCAUCUCUGGGUUUCCAUCCCUAGUAUUCUGGUAUGACCUUAUUACACACGUGUCUAACACAUGCAUUGGCACCACUGUUGAAGCACACGUACCAGCACCGUUAAGCUUCAGACGAAUGAGUAGGAGAGGAUUGUCCUUGCCCCUGAGUUGUUUCUCCUCCAGGCGGAGCAUCCACUGGUUCCUUGAAUCCUUCCUUCUAGGACCAGGUUUCAAGAGCCCCUCCCCCAAGGCAGUCAGGUAAAGUAGAAAGAGCGUGAGGUUUGGAAUUAGACAGACCUGGGUUUAAAUCCAUGCUCUGCCAAUUUCUAGCUGUGUGAUCUUGGGAAAUUCCCUUUACCUCUCUGAGCCUCAGUUUCUUCAUCUGCAAGAUGGGAGAUGAUAUCGGUACUAUCAGGCUGGUCUGGGGCUCAAAGGAAAAGUCCUUGGCUAGGGGCUAAAGAUGCCAAGAUAAAUAGCCCUCAGUCCUUGAUGUCAAGUUGCAGGGGAGGAAGGUCAAGCAGUAGGCAGAUGGUCUCAAGUGCCAUGAUGGAAUUUAGCCAGGGCUCUAGGGGCCCAGAGGGCCGCUUAUCUCAGUCUCAGAGGAGGAGGUGACUUCACCAGGAUGGUAAUAUCUGAGCUGGUCCUCGAAGUGGGAAUAAUGACUAAUAACAGCUGACACUUAUACAGCAUUUAACGUGUGGCAGGCACUGUUCUAAGUGCUUUAUAAGCAUGGUCUAAUUUACUCCCUUAUGAGAUGAAUACAAGCUUAUGAGGUGAAAACUGUUGUUAUCCCGAUUUUAAAGAUAGGGAAACUGAGGCACAGAGAAGGUAAGUGACUUGCCUGGCUAGGCAGUCAGGCUCCUGAGCCCACACUCUUAGCCUAUGUGAGCUGCCUAUGUGAGCAGGAGUUUGCUAGCUGUAGAGGAGGCCAAGAGUACUGAGUGUGACAAGAAAGAGCUCAGAGGUGAGGUGGGUGAGCAGGGCCAGAUCCUACAGGUCUUUCUGCGCCUGGCUGAGGAACUUAGACUCCACUCCGGAGACAAUGGGGAGUCCUUGGUGGAUUUUGAUUGGGGAAUUACAUGCUCAGAUUUGUCUACAGGAAAGGUCUCUCUGGGUGCAGUGUGGAGGUUGGUCACAGGAGGACGCACUCUGGCGGCAGAGCAAUGAUAAAGGCCUGAAUUAAGGCAGUGUUUUAAGGAUGGAAUGCUUGGGAUGGAUUCCAGAGCUAUUAAGGAGGUAAAAUUGGCAGGUCAUGGUAAUUAAUUAGAUGUGAGGGGUGAGUGAGAGGGAGAGGGAGGAGUGAAGGUUUCUAGCUUGAGAGCCUGGCUGGAUGGUGGGCUUGCCCCUUGAUAAAUGAAACUGGCAGAAGAGUGGCCUUUUGUGGUAGAAUGAAGACUCUGAAUACCUCAGUCAACUCUGCAUUGAAAAGACUCUCCCUCCCUCCGUUCCUACCUUCCACAAGCAUCUCAGUGUCUGGUUCUGUGUUGGGUCCUGGAGAAACAGAAAUGCAUCAGAGAUCACCCCUGCCCUUGUGGAGCUCACCAUCUGGUGAGAGACACAGACUGGCCACCAGUAAUUCGAAUGUCUCAUUGAGGUGUCAUGCUGGGAGAUCGUUCAGAGUACAGGGAAGGAGUGCAGCAAGGCAGUGAUGGAGUUCUAACUAGGUGCC